rnacentral:lncRNA from 1 species
AUGUUGCAUCCUGUUAGCCAGGUUCCUAGUUCAGUUUAGCUGGUGUGCAGGUCAAGGACUCUUAAGGAUUGAAUUGCAUCCCUUCAAAAGAUAUUGAAGUGCUAACCCCCAGAAUCGGUGACUGUGACCUUAUUUGGAAAUGGGUCUUUGCAGACACAAUCAAGUUAAGAUGAGUCAUGUUGGAUUAAAGUGGUGUGUAAUUCAAUAGCUGAUCUCUUUAAUGAAAAGGGAAAUGUGUACUGAGAAACACAGAGGGAAAUGCUAUGUGAAGAUGGAGGCAGAGAUUGGAGUGAUUUGGAGCAAUGUGUAUGUCUGCAAGCCAAGGAACACCAGGUAUUGCCAGCCAUCACCAGAGCUGGAGGAGGGGCCUGGAACAGAUUCCCACUAGAGCCCCCAAAAGGAUCCAAUCCUGCUGACACUUUGGCUUUGGAGUUGUGGCCUUCAGAACUGUGAGAGAAUUAAUUUCUGUUGUUUUGAGCCACUCAGAGUGUGGUAUUUUGUUAUAGAAGUCCUUGGAUACUAAUAAAGACAUUAAUAGCC